ensembl:lncRNA
GGCUUCCAUGAUGUCAUAAAGGACCCACUGUUCUCUCAGUGCAUCUGGGCUUGCUGAGCAUCACAGAGGAUGGGCCAAGCUUACCAGGGACAGCUGCUCUGCUGCCCAGGUUCGGCUGAGCUGUGCAGCUGGUCCCUGGCUCCGACCUCCACCCCCAGAUCCUGCAAAGCCUCACUGGAGGAUGCUUGCCUUUGAAGAGCCACAUGGAACUGAUUUCCUGGGGAAAUCUGGACAGAGACAGAUGUGCAUAGAGGGAAGAUGGUGUGAAGAUGCAGAAUGGCACUUGACCAGGAAGGCAGAGAAUGGGAGUGAUGUACUAGGAAGGCAAAGAAUGCCGAGGAUUGCAAGGCAACCACCGGCAGCCAGGAGGGAAACCCAGAACAGCCUCCCUCACAGCCCUCAGAAGGAACCAACCCUGCCCAUCACCUUGAUCUGACUUCAGGCUUCAUAACUGCGAGA